GAACAACAGACCAGGAAGGCAGCAGCCCUGCCCACCAGGAGCCAGCUAUCACAGACACUGGCAGCUGGCUCAGCUCUGCAGGCAAAUGGAAGAUGCCCUUUGACCCCCAUGACACAUUUAAUUCCGUGUUCUACUUGGAUGAGAAGAGGUCUGUGAAUGUGUCCAUGAUGAAAAUUGAGGAAUUGACCACACCCUACUUCCGGGAUGAUGAGCUGUCCUGCACUGUGGUGGAGCUGAAGUACACCGGAAAUGCAAGUGCUAUGUUCAUCCUCCCUGACCAGGGCAGGAUGCAGCAGGUCGAAGCCAGCUUACAACCAGAGACCCUGAGGAAGUGGAAGAACUCUCUGAAGCCCAGGAGGAUAGAUGAGCUCCACCUGCCCAAGUUCUCCAUCUCCAUGGACAACAGCCUGGAGCACAUCCUUCCUGAGCUGGGCAUCAGGGAGCUCUUCUCCACACAGGCUGACCUGUCUGCAAUCACAGGAACCAAGGACCUGAGAGUCUCUCAGGUGGUCCACAAGGCUGUGCUGGAUGUGGCUGAGACAGGCACAGAGGCAGCUGCUGCCACAGGGGUCAAAUUAAUUCUAUGUUGUGAAAAAAUCUAUUCUAUGACAAUAUAUUUCAACAGGCCGUUCCUGAUGAUUAUCUCUGACAUAAACGCUCACAUUGCCCUCUUUAUGGCCAAAGUUACAAAUCCCAAGUGAGACCAGAACUUCUCAAAUGGGGAAAGGGCCCCUUCCCAAGAGCUGAGAAUUGAGCCUGUAUGUCUGUCUGUCUGCACAUUUUGGCUUCCAUGCUCUGCUUGGCUGAGGCAUGCCUGACUAGACAGUGACACUGACUAACUCUGUGACUCCCUCAUGCAGAGAAACAAGCCUAUGGCUGGUCAGUGUCAGACUCUCUGUCAUCUUGGCAGCCCUAGCUCAGGAUCCUGACCUGAAAUUUGUGUUAUUCCCUAUCCCUGCUCUCUCCCCUGUAUCUGCCUCAACUCAAAAGCGUGGGCCCAGCAGUGAGGCUCUCUCCUAACUUAGGCUCUGCUUAUGUCUGCUGUCAGCUUUUCAGUCAUGAUGGGACUUUGAAAGUUUAAAGCCAACUCAUAAGGUCUAAGAAGGGAACCUGCUGCCCUGGGUCUAUCUGCAGCAUCUGAAACACUUGACGCCCAGUUCUGCCUUAGUCUUGCCUUCCUUUGGGCAGAGCUAUCCAUAGCCCCUGCAGAAUCUCUUGGCCCUGCCCACCUCUGGCACAGGUGGAGCACUCAACCCUGCAAAUGCAUGGGGCCUGUGGGUCAAAGCAGCUCCCCCUAGCACUCCUACUCAGAACAGAGAAGUAGCCUAACCCUAAGUCUCUAAUUGACCAACCUCAUAGGACAGGUGGACACCUCCACCUUCAUCACCCAAAUUGAAAGGGCAGGAGCUAAUGAUCAAUAAACAUAUAACUGCAUUGAA
rnacentral:lncRNA from 1 species